rnacentral:rRNA from 1 species
UACAGAGGGUGCAAGCGUUAAUCGGAAUUACUGGGCGUAAAGCGUGCGUAGACGGUUAUGUAAGUUAGGUGUGAAAGCCCCGGGCUCAACCUGGGAAUUGCAUUUAAGACUGCAUAGCUAGGGUGCGGAAGAGGGAAGCGGAAUUUCCGGUGUAGCGGUGAAAUGCGUAGAUAUCGGAAGGAACAUCAGUGGCGAAAGCGGCUUCCUGGUCCAGCACCGACGUCAGGCACGAAAGCGUGGGGAGCAAACAGG